rnacentral:misc_RNA from 1 species
GAUGAAGAACGCAGUGAAAUGCGAUAAGUAAUGUGAAUUGCAGAAUUCAGUGAAUCAUCGAAUCUUUGAACGCACCUUGCGCCUUUUGGUAUUCCGAAAGGCACACCUGUUUGAGCGUCAUGAAUACCUCAAUCUCCAUCUUUUCUUCGGAUUGAUGGGUGACUUGGAUGUUGAGCCCUGCUGGUAUGCUAUAUCAGCUGGCUUUAAACUUAUUAGCCGGCUCUGUACUGGAUCGGUUUGACUCGACGUGAUAAUAUUAUCGUUGAGGAUGCAUGUCUCAUGCAGCCGGAAAGUAUCAAAGCAGCUUCUAGCUUGCCUUUAGUGUACUUUUACAUUUUAGACCUCAGAUCAGGUGGGACUACCCGCUGAACUUAAGCAUAUCAAUAAGCGGAGGA